AGUGAUGAUGGGGAUUAUCAGGAGGCCAUCAUUAGUAAAGGCCAGGGGGAAAUUUGGCCCGAACACUUACUUGUAAUAUUGUUAUGUAAUAUUCAUAACCAAAGCCAGACGUUUCUCAUUUCAAAGCUGUUUGAUGCUGUGGUUUGCUUUGCCCCCAAAAUAUCCUCCCCACUCUGUGACCGAAGCAGCAAAACCAAUAAAGAUAAAAAAAAAUAACGAUAUUUUGAAACUACACACCGACCAGCGACUUCGUCUCAACCUCGGGAGCAGGCAACAUGUCCCCUGGGUUCGCGUGCAUCGGAAAACCGGCCAGCAUUUAAAUGGUCCCAAUACAAGACUCUGAACACUGGAAACCCUAG